rnacentral:rRNA from 1 species
UACGGGGGGGGCAAGCGUUGUUCGGAAUUACUGGGCGUAAAGGGCUCGUAGGCGGCCAACUAAGUCGGAUGUGAAAUCCCCAGGCUCAACCUGGGAACUGCGUCUGAUACUGGAUGGCUUGAAUUCGGGAGAGGGAUGCAGAAUUCCAGGUGUAGCGGUGAAAUGCGUAGAUAUCUGGAGGAACACCGAUUGCGAAGGCAGCUCGCUGGGACGUGACUGACGCUGAGACGCGAAAGCGUGGGGAGCAAACAGG